rnacentral:lncRNA from 1 species
AGCCAUCUGCGAAGUUCCUGGAGGAGAGGAAGAGGUGAAGAGUUAGGAGUUGGGCACUGGGGAGUUGCUGUAGUCAGUAGAGCACUUGCUAUGCAAAAUAAGGAUCUGAGCUCGGAUCCCUAAAGCCCAUGGGAAAGCCGAGAAUGUCUGUGUGCAUCUGUAACCUCAGACCUGGGAGGCAGAGACAGGCAGAUGCCUGAGUUCGCUGGCCAGUCAGCCUGGCUGAAUCAAUGAGUUCUAGGUUCACUGAGAGACCCUGUCUCAGAAUAAAGUAAAGGUGUGAGUGAUAGAGGAAGACAUCCGAUGUCAACCUCUGGCUUUGACAGGAGUGCACACUCACACUCCUCAUGCACAAGUUCAUGCACAUGUGAACACGUAGCACACAUACACACCAGCAUGCACAAGUACACACACAUAUGCACACACCUGCAAGGACACCCAGGAUCACAAGUACAUACACACAAACAGACACACACAUGCACACAACACCCCUACCUGCAGGUACAUCCACGUGUACAAACACACACACACACACACACACACACACAAGAACUCCUCAAACUCAGAAAUCCACCUGCCUCUGCCUCCCAAGUGCUGGGAUUAAAGGCAUGUGCCACCAUGCUUAGCAAAAGUUGAAGAAUAUAAAACCAUAAUAAAUAGAAUGAUUGAGAAAAUAAAAUCAACAUUGAAUAUCAUUUUAUUAAAAUAAACAAAUCAGAAGCCAUUAAAGACAAAUCUUUAAAGAUAAGAUCACAGUUAUUUUCCUGUGGCUAUGUUCAGGAUGGGCUUUCUGGAGCAGGUGGACCAGAAGUGAUGGGCAAACUUCAGAUGGGUUGAGGAAGGAGGGGAGAGGGGUGAUUGAAGUCAGGAGAACAGGGGACCCACAAAACAGCAAGCUUGUCUGUAAAGCAGAGAGAGCAUUGGGAUGACAGAGUGAGCAUUUGGCCAAAUUAACCAUUUUCUCAAACCAUAGUUGCACAAUUAAUUUUAUCUCAGUUGACGGUGACUCCGUCCUUUUUGUUGCUCAGGCUGUGAACCUUAGUCAGUCUUGGCUUCCCCACCUUUCAUCUGCCAGGUCUUUUUGUUCGUGGUAAGCUCUUUUGCCCUCUGAGUCAUCCCGCUGCCACCUAGACCGUUGGAAAAUCUUGUAUCUCCUUUUAGACCAUAUCUGGAGCCUGACUGCCUCUCAGCCCCUCCACUGCUAAUGGCUGGCACAAGCCACCACAACUUCUGGUCUGAGUUGCUGCACAGUCAUCCUCACUGGACUGCUAAUGGCCUCUCUGCCUUCAACAGCAGCACACCAGCCAGAUGGAGCCUCAUCGAGUGUACAGCAGAUCAUGUCACCCUGUUAAAACCCUGUUGUGACUGCUUAAAUGAUUGCAGAGUAAAGGUCAGCGCAUCUGCUGUGGCCUCGGGGUGCGGACACCCCUGCACCUGUUCCUCUCUGACCUCAUCUCCAGUACUCUCCCUUACACAGCUCCAGCCACACUGGCCUCACGCAGCACCCUCCUGUUUCAAGGUCUCAGCUGUGCUCUGCCAAGACUGUUCUUGUCCCAGAGAGCUGUGGGGUAAUAUUUGCUCACAUGCCGUCUUUUUAUUGAAGCCUGCCUUUGUCUUGACGCUGAAAAUUGUGCCUGUUCCUACUUACCACUUCUACUGCCUCAGCCACCUUCUCCUACUGGGACGAUAACCUCUACUUCCCAUGGAAGGCUGGUCAAUGCUCCUCACUGCUACAUCAGACUUCCUUCCUGCCUUACAGAGAAUUCAACAUCCUGGCUUGGGACUCACACAGGUCCAGAAAUAGACCUGCUUCUUGUCAGUGACUUUCAUGGCAAAUGUUGAACACAGUGUCUGCUGUGGUCUGAAUGGAAGAGGACAUUUCUCUAGUGGGAUUUUCAUUAGAUAAACUCAUGUUUUGUCACUUAAGGCUUAUACAAAUUUGACUCUUUAGGAUAUGAAAACAUCUAUUAAACAGAAUUUAUUGUUUGUUCUAUUUUAUAACCUUAUGUAUUGCCACCCUGACUUUGACAUGAUACAUUUUGAAAACUGUAUGUUUAUGACCAUAUAUAUAUAAUAUGCAUAUUUUUUCAUUUUCUGCUAAACAUUUUUUUUAUUCUCUAAAGGAUUGAAAUUAGCAAAGUCAAAGCAAUCUGCCUAGAAAUGUACAUUAAAAUCGUAACUUUCCCAUUUUGUGGCUAAGUGCCUCGAGGCUUGGGAUCUGUCUGAAGUCACUCUUUUGGUGGACUGUGAGUUAGUCCUGGUCGUCACACCUCCUGAAGAUCAAUGAUCUCUUACCCAAGAUCACCUUCAAAAUGCGUGUGGGGCGAAUGUGCAGCUAGCCAGGUUAUAUUUACUUAUUAGCUGGCACUAGCUAAUAAAGUUGGGGCAAACAAGACCAAGCCACCAUCUCUCUGGCUGGCUCACAGAUGGAAUGAGAUUUAAUUUGAAAAUAUAUAGAACCCAUUUCUAUAAAGCUUUGGCAGUUCACCCUCUGGCAUUAGCAUUGAGAAUUAUUAAUUACCACCCUGGUUCCACGUGUGCAUAUGUGUCUGUUUUGUAAGAUCUAAUGAGGAAGUGUUGGAUCAAGUACAUCAAAUAUAUUCUUAAGAAAGGCCAAUGGUAGGUUUUAAAAUCUACUAACCAAAAGAAACACGAGUGGGACGAUGUUAAUUAGAUCAAUGUAGCCAUUCCAUAAUGUCUGCAACAUGUUGUAGACCAUAAAUAUGUAUUCUUUUUUAAUAUUUAAAAUGUUAAUUAAUUUUUAACAAACAAACAGUGUAGACCUUGUCAGGUAAAACUGUUUUGUUGGGAUGCAGAAUGGUAACCAUAGUAGCCAGGUCAGGUUGCUCAGACACUUGUGAGGCUGGGGACUUCAGGAGAGACUUGGUCACCAUCCCUUUUAUCUCCAGGACUAAUGACCCUUUUUCUUUUUCCACUUACAGUUCUCAGUGGUUGCAAAACGGAAGUCAAGUUUUCCCAUGUUUGUUGAAGUGCAGACUUGCUUUAGGCCAGGGAUAAAUUAACAGUAAACUCAGGUUGAAAACCUGGACCAGCACAGAACUGAGAACUCAUGACUUUUCUAAUCUGCCAUCUGUGCUAGGACGGGGUAAUUACAGAGAUUUUGCAACUGUUUAUACAGCAUUUGAAAUUCUAGACUUCUACUCCCAGGAGAUCAGGGUCAGACUGUUUAUGUCUCUCAUCAGUUGAGUGAGAGUCUCUUUACUAUUUUAAAUGGUCCCUCCAUCCUGCCCUGUUUCCUGAUAACCAACCUUCACCAAGAGCUCGGAACAGGCAGUAAUAAUUAGACAUUAACAAAGGACGGGUUUUUAAGCUAGUCCUUUAUGGUUUAUGGUACGCAGAUUUUAGGAGCUGUUUUGUAUUUGCUGGGGGAAAAACCGUAAGAAAUGGGAAUGUAGGAUGAACAUACUCAGGUUUACCCAAGAUUAAAGGGAAGGCACGUUCUAUUUCUAUUUUACAAUUCACUGUCCCAGAGUGUUGGCUGUUUGGAAUGCAGCCUAUGCCCUGUUGGCAGGGAUUUGGAAUCAAUUUACAGUGUGUGAGAUGAUAACACAUGUUCUGGAUCAGGGGCAGGGAAUGCUCGGAGCUGUAACUCUGUCUGUCUCCCCAUUAGCACAAAGUCUUGCAAACUCGAAGCUGGAGAAGUGCCUAAAAAUGCUAGGCUCAGAAUGUAUGUGUGCCUUUACAAAUGCAACACAAAACAUAGGCCCAGGAUAAAUGCCAUAAAUUGAAGUCAUCAAAAAAGAUGAAGACAAAAAAACCCACCUCCAUUUAACUGAUUUCCUGGUAUUGGGUAGAGAUGCUACUUUUGUGAACCAGAAAUACAGCUGUAUGCACAUUGACAUCUGUGCCUAGUGUUUCGAUAACGUUCAACAACAGCUGGAGACUGCAUCUGAGACUCACUCGUGGGGAGAAAAAACUCGGUGGAAAGCGUCUGUGCUAAUAAGGCACAGCAGUAUGUGUACAAAAUUCAGACAGUGUAAGUUGAAACCUGAUACCCCCGAGGCACGAGGUAGAAGCUGACUCUUGGCUCUAGAAGCUAAACAAUCAAGUAACGUGUAUGUGCGUGUAAGGGCAGGCUUGGGACAGGCGCCAUUCAGAAGCCUUUGUGAAACCAAAUGGCAAGGCUCAGCCAAACGAUGAAACGCUGUUCUUCGAAAGAUGAGAUUUACACAUUGAAAUGAUCAGAAAAUUAAAAGUUAGAUUUCUUUUUUAUUUAAAUCCUAAAACCUAUUGUGUUCUGGACUUUUAAAUGAAUGCCUUAUUGCUUUUACUUUACCUGUACACAUAUAUGUAUAUGUAUGUGUGUGUGUGUGUGUGUGUGUGUGUGUAUAUAUAUAUAUAUAUAUAUAUAUAUAUAUAUACAUAUACAUACAUACGCACACACAUUCUCUGAUGAUGGUCUUGAGUAAAUGUCAGUGGCUAUGUGAUUUUAAAUAUUCAGACUAUAAAAUCAUUGCACAAAUC